rnacentral:rRNA from 1 species
AACGAACGCUGGCGGCAUGCCUAACACAUGCAAGUCGAACGAGACCUUCGGGUCUAGUGGCGCACGGGUGCGUAACGCGUGGGAACCUGCCCUUAGGUUCGGAAUAACUCCCCGAAAGGGGUGCUAAUACCGGAUAAUGUCUUCGGACCAAAGAUUUAUCGCCUUUGGAUGGGCCCGCGUUGGAUUAGCUAGUUGGUAGGGUAAAAGCCUACCAAGGCGACGAUCCAUAGCUGGUCUGAGAGGAUGAUCAGCCACACUGGGACUGAGACACGGCCCAGACUCCUACGGGAGGGAGCAGUGGGGAAUAUUGGACAAUGGGCGAAAGCGUGAUCCAGCAAUGCCGCGUGAGUGAUGAAGGCCUUAGGGUUGUAAAGCUCUUUUACCCGGGAUGAUAAUGACAGUACCGGGAGAAUAAGCUCCGGCUAACUCCGUG